GACGAACGCUGGCGGCGUGCUUAACACAUGCAAGUCGAACGGUAAGGCUCCAGCUUGCUGGGGUACACGAGUGGCGAACGGGUGAGUAACACGUGGGUGACCUGCCCUGCACUUCGGGAUAAGCCUGGGAAACUGGGUCUAAUACCGGAUAGGACCAUGGUGUGGAUACUGUGGGGGAAAGUUUUUUCGGUGUGGGAUGGGCCCGCGGCCUAUCAGCUUGUUGGUGGGGUAGUGGCCUACCAAGGCGGCGACGGGUAGCCGGCCUGAGAGGGUGGACGGCCACAUUGGGACUGAGACACGGCCCAGACUCCUACGGGAGGCAGCAGUGGGGAAUAUUGCACAAUGGGCGGAAGCCUGAUGCAGCGACGCCGCGUGGGGGAUGACGGCCUUCGGGUUGUAAACUCCUUUCACCAUCGACGAAGGGUUUCUGACGGUAGAUGGAAAAGAAGCACCGGCUAACUACGUG
rnacentral:rRNA from 1 species